GAGGUUUGGGGUGUGGGCUCCAGCCUGGAACCGCUUACCUGGAGUGGCUCUGGGGUGGCAACGGCAUGCAGUGUGGCUAAGGCCGGCUCUGUGCCCUCCCUGGCCCCGCACUGUGCCACACCACGUCCCUGCAGACACUGGAGGAGGGCAGGCAGAGGGCUCCGCGUGCUGUUCUCGCCUGUGGGUACUUCUCUUGAAGCUCCCAUUGGCCGUGGUUCCCCAUUUCCAGCCAAUGGGAGCUGCGGGGGGCGGUGCCUGCAGGCGAGGGCAGCGCACAGAGCUCUCUGCUCUUUCCUCUCCCCCAGGGGCCUCAGGGACUUGGUGCUGGCGGCUUCCAGCAGGGGCAUGGUGCCCGUGGUGCCAUGGGGGCAGCAAUCCUGCAGGCCAGAUCCAAAGCCCUGAUUGGCAGGAUUCAGCUCACAGGCCGUAGUUUGCCCACCCCUGUGCUAGGGGAUGAGGAUGAAGGGGGCAGAAGAGUAGCACUGGGGGCCAGUCCUCCAUCAGGCAGCCUCAGCACAUCUAGAGGCUCCCUUUAGUGUAGGAAGGCCAUGCCCUCCUCCCCCCAAUCCCUGCUAUGGGAGGAAACAGUUUUCAGGAAACCUUGAGGAAGGAAGGAGUAGGAAUGCAGCUGUUUGUGGGGAAAGAUCUUGGCCAGAAAUUUCCACUGGAAAAAAAUACCAGGCACCAAAAGCCUCUUAAAUCUAGCAGAGAAAGGCGUAACAAGAAUCAACGGCUAGAAGCUGGUGCCAGAAAAUUGCAAAUUAGAGAUACAGCGCACGUUUUUAUAACAAGGAGGGUGAUUUACCACUGGAACAAAGGGAGUGGUGUAUUCCCCAUCUCUUGAUGUCUUCAGAUUAAGACUAGAUGCCUUGAAUUUAUGCUUUAGCCAAAAGAUAAACACAAGUUAUUGGAGUCAGUACAGGGCUAGCUGGGUUAAAUGUAAUGGCCUGUGAAAUACCAGAGGUCAGACUAAGAUGAUCUAAUGAUCACUUUUGGCCUUAAAUUCUAUGAAUCUAUGAAUGUGAAACCUAUACAUUUGAUGUUUAUGUAUCUAAUGUUAAAGUAUAUUGCCUUCACAUUCCUGGAUAUUUUAUUACAUUAAAUAUUAACAUUCUUGAAAGAGCAAAAAUAACCAUCAUUGAGGCAAUAAUUACCAAAGCACAGCUUAGAUGGACAGAUCUUAUUAUCAGAAUGGGUAAGGCUAGACUCCCGAAAAAGUCCUCUAUCAUGAGAUGAAAUCAGAAGGCACAGGAAGGGCAGUAAAUGUAAAUAUUUCAAAGAUAGGAUCUCAAAGCAUGAGGCAUAAAUAUAGAUAACUUUGAAAAAAGAAAAGGAGUACUUGUGGCACCUUAGAGACUAACAAAUUUAUUAGAGCAUAAGCUUUCGUGAGCUACAGCUCACUUGAAACAGCCAAGGACACACCUGAAUGGAGAACAAUCAACAAAAGUUCUGAAAGUAUAAUUAUUCAUAAAGCACUACCAGUGUGGUCAUCUAUGAACAAUCAAGCAUCCAGAUCCUCUGCUGGGCUGUGGCACUGAAGUCAAUGGAGCUAUGCUGAUUUGUACCAGUUGAGGUUCUUCUCAUGGGUCUCUUCUCAAGGAGCUUGCAGCCUGUUUCAGAUGCAAACACUUCAGACAUGUCUGAAGUGCCAGAAGUCAGUUUGAUGGGAUGUCUUCAGGGAGAAAUUACAGUAGUAUAAAGGGCCCUACUGUCAAUCAAACCCUAACCCCGCCCCUUGACCCCUGCCCCCUUCACCAGAAGGCCUGCCCAUGGGGUAUUACAUGGGGUCAAGGCUGCCACAUGACCAGAAGCAAGGUGUGUCAUGUGACCCCUCUAACUACUCGUCCCACUUCCCUCUACCAACCAGGAGGUGUUUCACCCCUCUAGGCCUACCCUGAGAGGAGAUUUGACCAAUCAAGGCAAGUUCCAGGGUGGGGGUGUCCUCUCCAGAAGUGGGUCAUGUGACCCCUCUAACAACUCCUCCCCACACCCUCUACCAAUCAUGAUGGGUUUCACCCCUCUAGGACUGCCCCGAGAGGAGAUUUGACCAAUCAGGGUGAGUUGCGGGGGUGGGUGACCCACCCGGAAAUAAUUCGUGUGACCCCUCUAACAACUCCUCCCACCAACCUCUACCAAUCAGGCCACCCCGAGAGCAGAUUUGACCAAAAUAGGGCAGGUUCUGGGAUGGGGUGAACUGCCCAGAAGAGGGGUGCGUGACCCCUCUGUCAAUCAGAGCGCAGCACCAUCACCCCAUAAGUCCCAGCGUCGGGCAGAAGAGGCCAUCCUUUACCCAGAGUGCAUGUUUUAGAAAUCGUGGAAACAUGGCCUCCUUCACCACCUGUGAGAACUUCGGACUUUGUUUUAGGCCCGAGCACCUUUGGACUUGUGUGGAGAAAGCGCUACCUCAGUGAGAGUUCUGAGGAGGACCCUUUGGCCCAACCGUUGGUGGAUACGGCGGAAACUGACCCCGAAACCCAGAUGCUUGUGAGGCACCCUGAUGAGCGUGAUGGCCUCUUGUUGUCCACCCCCCUAGAGGUCAAAAGGGAUCAUGGCUUGGGGGAGUUACAGGUGGACAAGGUGAACGGAAAAGACAACGCUCAGCUCAAUGAUGCCUUUCUAGAGGCCUUUGAGAACUUACACAGCGGUAGCCCUGUAGGAGUAAAUGUAUCAUGCAUCAGCUGUUUUUGCACAUGUCUGAGAUAUGGAUCUCAAGAGGAAAAGGACAAAAUGGAAGAAUGAAGCAGCACGGACUUCCUCAUGUUAGGAGUCAUGGCAUCCAUUUUUACAGGCGGUUGUAAAAGGUUGUGUUAAACCAGGCAAUUAAUAAAACUUAUUUAAAUGUGUUAAUA